rnacentral:tRNA from 1 species
AUUUUAGUAGCUUAAGUUUUAAAGCAUAAUAUUGAAGAUAUUAUAAUAGUUUUUAACUCUAGAAUA